rnacentral:lncRNA from 1 species
UCGGCGUCGCGGCGUGGCCACCAGCCCCCGGAUCCGAGUUGGGAGAGGUGCCAAAGGUUCCUCUGAAGGCGAAUUCCAACCUGGAAGAGGGCAUUGUGGGCAUGGACGAGGAGGGGUAGGAAUGGUGGUGAGAGCCACAGCAGUCCAUCCAACGGGUCAUAACAGGAAUUCGGGGAAUAGUGGACAUGUCCUAAACACACACAUAGGAGGUUUAGGCAACUGACCGGGAAUCUUGGAAAAGUCAAUGUCAUGAAAGAGAAGAGGAAGGAGCAGCAGAGGUGCUGCUGUAGAUAAGAAGACACUUGAGAGACCCAAUUAAACAGCAGAAACAACCAAACACACGUGUCCAGUGAGCGAGCGCUCCUGCCGGCUGCACUUAGAUGUUAUAAAUUAAUGCUGAAACAAUGGAGGCACGUUCAUUUGUCAUGCUUUACUGAUCGCCUGAAAUAUUGAUUAUUA